GUCUUUGUGGCGAAGUGGUUAACGUGUCUGCCUCUGACUCAGGAGAUUUCGGGUUCGAUUCCCGACGGAGACA